UGAUAAUAUGUAGAUAUUUAUUUUUGAUUUAUUAAACUAAAAUAUUUCCUAUAUUUAUUAAAUAUCACUUUAAAAUCAAACUAUUGAUAUUUAUUUAUAUAUUUGAAUUUCAUAAAUUUAUAUACUCUACCAUAAUUUUGAAAAAAGUAAUUAAUUUUUAUUUAGUUAGUUUACAAAAAUAGUUAUUAAUUGCGUAUUGUCAUAUAAUAUAUAUGAAUGUAGGUUCAUUUAUUUAUAUCCGGUCAAGACGAGCAAUACAAUUAUUUUAUUAUUUUAUUAUUUUUAAACAUUUUCUAAGAUAAAUUUAUUUUACUGUGGUAAAGUAUGUAAUAUUUCUUAUUUUAUAGUAAUUAGAACUUUUUAUUAUUAUUUCUAGAAUAAAUAUUUUACUAUUAAAAUAUUUUCAUUUUAUUAUUUAGAAGUAAAAAAAAUAAAAAAAUAAAAUCUAAAAUCACCAAUCAUGUUUUUUCAAAAAAACUAAAAUUUAAUGCAAAAUCAAAAACCAAAAUCUAAAUCUAAAAUCGAAAAACCAAAAACUAAAAUCCAAAAUCUAGAAACCAUACAAACAAUCAUCACCUUAUUAUCAUAACGCCCAUGGUCAAGCUACAUAAAUAAAUAUAUUUUUUGUGAAAUGAGCUACAUAAAUAAUUUGAUUACAUUAAUUUAUCUUAAUGGAUAUACAAUAAUUCAUUUUUCUUUUCAU
rnacentral:lncRNA from 1 species